AGAUUUAUUGAGAUAUAAUUCACACACCAUACAGUUCAUCUACUUAAAGUGUGCAAUUCAAUGUGUACAAUUCAUUGCUUUCAGCAUAUUCGCAGAUAUGUGCAACCAUCACCACAGUCAAUUUUAGAAAAUUUUCAUCACCUGGAAACUUCAUACCCUUUAACUAUCACUCCCGCAACCCCACUUCCCUAUCCUUUCUAGCCCCAAGCAACCACUAAUUUUUCUGCUCUAUAGAUUUCCCUAUUCUGGACAUCUCACAAAAAUUGAACCAUAUGAUAUGAGGUCUUUUGUGACUGGUCCCUUAUGCUGAUACUGGACAUUCGAGUUCUUUCCAGGUUUGGAGCUAUUACAGAUAAUACUUCCGUGAACGUUAUUCUGUGAAUCGGUUCACAUAGAUACACAUUUCUAUUGCGAUACAUAUCUAAGGUAUGCUCAUAACCAGCUAUAAUUACAGUGCCAAGCAGUUUUUCAAAUUUAUAGACCUGCCAGCAUUGUAUGAUGAGAGUUCUCAUUGUUCCACGUCCUCUCCAACAUUUAGGGUUUAUGUGGUUUUAAUUUACAUUUCUCGGAUGACUAAAGAUAAAGAGCAUCUUUCAUGUGAUUAUUGGCCACUCGGAUAUCCUCUUUAGUUAAGUGCCUUUUAGGCAUUCACCCACUUUUCUAUUGGCUAAUCUUCUUCUACUUGAUGUGUAUAUUCUAGAUAAGUGCUGCAAACAAACACCUUUUCCUAAUUAAACGCUUGCAUUUUAACUUCCCAUUUUUAGAUUUUGAUAAAGGUAAAUCUUUUAUUUUUAUUGAGGUCUAAUUUAUCACUCUUUGUUCAUGGUUAGUGCUUUCGCUAACCUGUCAGAAAUCAUUGUCUACCCCAAGGUGACAAGGGCAUUCUCUUAUGUUACCAUCUGGAACCUUAAGUUUUUUCUUGGAACACUUAGAUGUGCUAACUACCUAAAAUUAAUUUUGGCAUAUGGUGUGAAGUGAGGACUAGUUUUUUUUUUUUUUUUUUUUUUUUUUUUUAAUGUAGCUAUCCAACUGACCUAAGUUUUUUUUGGAAAAGAAAGUCCUUUCCCCACUGCUCUGCAACAUCACCUUUGUCAUAAAUCAAUAGAAAUAGACCUACAGAUGUUGGAAUCAGUAGAAAAGGAAUUUUAAAGAUAUUUAUGGCUAUUUUAAAUUAUUAAAGAUUCUUACUAAGGGUAGAUAUGAUAAAUGAAGACAGGGAAUUUCAAGAGAAAUACAACUAAUAGAAGAAGAACAAAAUGGAACCCCUAGAACUGAAAAUUAUAAUAACUGAAAUUAUUUGAUGGGAUUAUCAGUAGAUUGGACAACAGUAAGGAGAAUCAGGAAGCUUAAAGAUAGGUCAAUAGAGGGCCAGGUACAGUGGCUCACACCUGUAGUCCCAGCCUACUUUGGGAAGCCUAGGCGAACGAAUCAUUUGAGGUCAGAGGUCAGAAAUUUGAGACCAGCCAGGCCAACAUGGUGAAACCCCAUCUCUACUAAAAAUACAAAAAUUAGUUGAGUGUGGUGGUGCACACCUAUAAUCCCAUCUACUCGGGAGGCUGAGGCUGGAAAAUUGCUUGAACUAGGGAGAUGGAGACUGCAGUGAGCUGAGAUUGUACCAUUGCACUCCACCUGGGCUACAGAGUGAGACUCCAUCUCAAAAAAAAAGAUAGAUCAAUAGAAAUCAUCCAAAUUUAAAGUGCACUGAGAAAAAAAAAAGUUUAUAAUAAACAGAACAUCAGUGACCCAUGAAAUAAUGUCAAGACAUCUAACUUACAUGAAAUUGGACUUUUAGAAGUCAAAGAGAGAAACUAUCAGGCAGAAAAAUACUUGAAAAAGUAUUAGCAAAGGUUCCCCAAAUAUGAUCAAAUAUAUUUAUCCAGAAUGUUUACUUGUUUAAUGAAGAGUUGAUCCCAUAACCUAUUUUGCCAUUAGUGGAGUUUAGAAGUUAGCAUAAAAGGUUAUAAAGUGUUACAUCUCCAUGAAUGAGCAGCAGGGCAUUUAAAAGUCACAUUGAUUGUAGAAAAAAUACUUUGCUGGGUGGAAGGGUCCUGAGCAUGGCUAUUCUUUUAACAUAAAUGUUGCCUGCCCACUAACAUUACCACCACCCCAAUCAUAGUAAUGCCAAAAUUCCUCACAGUUUUUCAAAAUAUCCCAUUGGUGCACAGUACGGCCCUGCAUCCACUGAGAACCCUUCUCUCCUGUGAUCUGCCACUGCCUCGCUGUUCCAACCUUUCUAACCUCAUCUUCUAAUGCUCUAUGUAUCAAACCUCCCUGGCCUCCUUCCAGAUCAGGGCUUUGGGGAUUGCUUUUUCCUCUUCCAGAAUGCUCCUGCCCCCAAAUAUUUAUAUAACUGACUCUUCCACAGGUCUUUGUUCUGAUGUCAUUUUUCUCAGUGAGACCUACCAAUGAAACAAACCAAACAAAAAACUUGUACAUUCUCUCAGCAUCUGGAUUAGUUUGCAGGGCUGCCAUGGCAGAGCACCGCAGACCCAGUGGCUUAACCCUCAGAAAAUUAUUUUCUUAGCUCUGGAGACUAGAAGUCCAAGAUCAAGAUGGCAGCAGGUUUGAUUUCUCCUGUGGCCUCUCUCCUUGGCCAGCCAUUGUCCACUUUCUGUGUCCUCUCAUGGUUUGUCCUCUGUGGGUGAGUGCCCCUGGUGUCUCUCUGCAUGCCCAAAUUUUCUCUUAUAAAGACAGCAUUUAGAUUGGAUUAGGGCCCAUCCAAAGGGCCUCAUUUUAACUUAAUUGCCUCCUUAAAAACCAUUUCUACAAAUAUAGUUACCUUAUGAGGUACUAGGGGUUAGGCCUUCAACAUAUGAAUUUUGGGGGUAUAUAAUUCAGGCCAUACACCAUCUCUUGUUUAUUUUCAUCUGUCGCCCCUCCCCCCCACCUUUUUUUUUUUUUAGAUGGAGUCUCACUCUCUCGCCCAGACUGGAGUGCAGUGAAGCAAUCUCAGCUCACUGCAACCUCCACCCUCCCGGGUUCAAGUAAUUCUCCUGCUUCAGCCUCCUGAGUAGCUAGGAUUACAGGCAUGCACCAUCAUACCUGGCUGUAGCCCUUAUUUUAAAUUCAAUGUACUGUAAUGAUUUACUUGGUUUAUUGUCUUAACUUUCUGUUCCACUGGAAUACAGGUUCAAUAAGGAGGGAUUUUAAUCAAUUUUGUUCUCUGAAGUGUCUUCAGAACCAAAUGAGUAAAAAAUUAUCAUUGUUGACGUUUUCACUUCGUGCUAGCAUAUGGGCAAUCUCAAUUUAUUUCUAAUAACUCCCUGUAUCUUUCAGAGCAUUCCUUCAUGAAUGAAGAAAGCCCUGAUAGUGUUCCAGUAAUUUAUGUUUUUUAUGUUUGAAUUUCUUAACAAAAAGAAUUAUACCACUAAAAGAUCCAGCUUUUUUGUUUGUUUUACUUUUUGAAAAAAAAUUUAUAUUGUUAAUAGAGACAGGGUCUCACCAUGUUGCCCAGGCUGGUCUCGAACUCCCGGACUCAAGUGAUCCACCCUCCACAGCCUCCCAAAGUGCUGGGAGUACAGGUGUGAGCCACUACACCCAGCCAAGAUCCAGCUUUUUUACCAGGGAAAAUAAGAAAUUUAAUAUGCUUGUUUCCAAAGCAACAAAAGCUUUACAUGAUUAAGUAGACUGAGGGCUCUUCCAUAUUAGACGAAAAUAUCCAGCCAAAUUGCUGAGGACUCCCUCAGACAGGAAAAAAAAUGUUUAGAGCCAUCCUCACAAAGAAAUUUUCCUGUUUAAUUAUAACCUAAUUAUGACAACUUUUUUUUCUUUAGGUGGUCAGGCUCAGGAUGGACCAUGAGCUUUCAAAAAGGAAAAAGGUGGAAAUCCUCAACUAUGCUGCCAUCUGAAUAAGUGUUUCUUUGUAGAUGCACAGAGUCAAGGAAAAUUACAUCCCUGCAUUAUGUAAUGUACCAACAACGCACUUACCCACUGUUUUAAUCUAGGUUAUUCUUGAAAGCAGAGCCUGAGACAAAGGUAGACACAUUCUAUUUAUGAGUCUAACACCCAGGAGCAGGAAUGAGAGAUAGGGGAGUGAACUGGGGAAAAGGGAAACUAAGUCCGAGCAAAACCAGAUACUGCUCUUAUCAAGUGGUCCACCCCUAUUAAUGGCUACAUAAUGCAGAACUUUCUCAGGAUUCUUCUUAAACUUUAUCUCAGAACUGUCUGCCUCAGGGAGAAAGGAGAAGUAUUUCUCCAUCAGCAGCCACCUCCUGUGUGUUGAGGGCUGCUCCUUUGGGGCAUUAACCCACUGCCUCCACCACCCCAACCCUCUGGGCUGCAAAGAGCUAGCUGACAGUCCAGCUGGUACCUUAGCAUCACACAUUGCUGCAUCAGAGAGGUCUUAAGACAGGAAGCUAGAGUCUUGGUGCAUGCUCGAAGUGAGACGGUGUCAGCACAGAGCAGGGUAAAAUCUUCCCGUUAACUCUUCACCAGAGCUAUGACUGGAAUCAGAGGUUGAAAAGAUGUGAGACUGUACCCAAGAAGCAUCUUAUAAGCCUACGUAAUAUACUGUUAGACUCAUCGAAAUCUAUUUCCUCCCUUCUUUAUAAUCAAAACUUCAGUGUCCAGAAUAAAGUUGGCAGAAGGGUUAAAUUGGAAAGUUAAAUGUACUAGAAGGUGUACAUUUAUAAGUUUUGACCUUGAGUCGUGUUCAAGGAGAAAGUGACAUUGGAACUUGGAAAAUUUAAAAAUGAUUCUACUUGAAAAAUUUGACCAUUGCAUAGAAAUAUUAGCUAUCGUCUAAUCUUUUGUAAUCUUAGAAACAAUCGUGAAUUGUUUGGUGAAAAAUGAAAAAAUAACCAUUUCUUAUGUCUCCGUGACCUUUAUAGACCAAUGUCACCAACUUUUCCUAAGGUAAUUGUUUCCUACUGUCAAAUAGCUCUAGUGAUAUAAAUCUUAACAAUCAAUGAAGGGAAAACUGGUGGAAACAUAGGAGGAAAAAUACUGGGAUAAUUUUCAUCACAAAGUAUUGGCAUUAACAUUGGUUAGAAUAGGGGAGAAACUGCAUGACUUGACAACUGGACAUUCCUGUAUGUUGUAUGAGGCCCUGUCUUAACAGAAAUAGUGAUGUCAUCAUCAUCCUCUCUUAUUUGGUCUUGAAUUGCCACCAAUCGGAUAAAACCUUUGAAUUAUUUAACUCAAUAUAUGUUAAGUUUCUACUAUGUGCUGUGUAUUGGUACUAUAAAUAUGAAUAAGACAUAAGAUAUUACAUUCAAAAACAUCAGAAUACAUGUUCUUUUAAAGUAUACCCCAAAACAUUUACCAUGUGUUCUGGGGCGCAUGUUAGGCUGGAUCACAAAUCAAGUCUCAAGAAUUUCAAAAGAUUGAAAUCAUAUAGAGUAUGAAUUAAACCAGAAAUCAAGUACAUAAAGGUAACAAAAAAUUUCCAAAAUGCAUUAAUUUAAGGAACAUACACCUCAUGACCCAUGAGCCAAAAAAUAAAUCACGGCAAAAUUGCAAAAAUAUUUUGAAAUGAAUUUUAAAGAAAAUACUUAGCAUAUUAAAUACUUAGCAUAUUAAAGCUCUAAGUACAUAUGUUAGAAAUUUUACCGAAAGGUUGGCUAUCAGUGUUUCCAGAAGCCAGGGAAAAAGUUUAUACAAUUUGAUCGCUGAGGCAGGGAAACAAAGUGAGACCUCCGAUCGCCCUGCCUUUCUGAGGUGAGCACUCUGGAUCCCAUCGCAGGAGAUCAGAGUCUUGCUGAGUUGAGGAGAGGAAGAUUGGAGUUGAUACUGAGAUAGCUUGAAUUUUCAGGACAAAGUAUCAACAAGGAGGAAGGUAGACAAAAAAAUCCAGAAAUCUAUGUAGAGACCCCAUUGUGUACAUUGCGGAACACUAAGCCUAACAAUUCUCAAAAUUAGCGUGAGAUUGGGAAAUAUCUAAUUUCCAUCCAGCCACAGUGGAGAGUCCUGACUGAAAACCAGGCAUUCGCUAAAGAUCCCAGAAAGGUUGUGUGUUACAUACGUAGGGCUAAACUAUCCUGACUAAAAACUACACUACACUUGCUCCUCACCCCCACAAAAAGCUUAAAAACAAGCCUCAAUAGUAUAAAGCUGAUCUGUAAGUAACUAAACUACCUGCAGAACAAAGUCCAAAUUUAUUAGUUCCAGUACUCCAAAAAAAACACAUGUAAAAAAAAAAUAGAUUUACAAGACAUUUAUUUGGGGAAAAAAAGAAUGCCUGAGGGUUGAAAUGGAGAGGAAGCCAGAGAGACAGAGUCCUCAGAAUACAUAAAAUUUCUGGCCUCCAUGGAGGUGUGAUGGUUAAUUUUAUGCAUGUCAACUUCGCUGGGCCACAGGAUGCCCCAUAUAUGAUCGAACAUUAUUUCUGGUUGUGUUCAUGAAGCUUUUUCUGGAGGAAAUUCGCAUUUGAAUUGAUGGACUGAAUAAAGCAGAUUGCAGUCCCCAGUGUGGAUGGGCUUGAUCCAGUCUUCUAAGGACCCAAAUAAAAUAGGUGGAGGAAGCUUGAAUUUUCUGCCUGACUGUGGCGCUGGGACACCCAUCUUCUCCUGCCCUUGAACUGGGACUGACACCAUCAGUGCUCCUGGUUCUCAGACCUUCGGACAGCAGACUUGGGGCCUUCUCGGCCUCCAUUAUUGUAGGAGAAAAUGAGACACUGAGUGGGACUCAGGGAUUGCUCCAGGCCACACAGUCAGCAGGAGGCAAAGCCCAGAUUCAAAUGCAGAUUACUCAGCUCCACAAUCCACAUCCUCACAGGAGGCUGCACUCCUUGCCCAAGCGUCAGACAGGAGCAAA
rnacentral:lncRNA from 1 species